rnacentral:rRNA from 1 species
CUACGGGUGGCUGCAGUGGGGAAUAUUGCACAAUGGAGGAAACUCUGAUGCAGCAACGCCGCGUGGAGGAUGACACUUUUCGGAGCGUAAACUCCUUUUAUAUAGGAAGAAGAUGACGGUACUAUAUGAAUAAGCGCCGGCUAACUCCGUGCCAGCAGCCGCGGUAAUGACGGAGGGCGCAAGCGUUACUCGGAAUCACUGGGCGUAAAGAGCGUGUAGGCGGAUUAAAAAGUCAGAAGUGAAAUCCUAUAGCUUAACUAUAGAACUGCUUCUGAAACUCUUAAUCUAGAAUAUGGGAGAGGUAGAUGGAAUUUCUGGUGUAGGGGUAAAAUCCGUAGAGAUCAGAAGGAAUACCGAUUGCGAAGGCGAUCUACUAGAACAUUAUUGACGCUGAGACGCGAAAGCGUGGGGAGCAAACAGGAUUAGAUACCCCGGUAGUC